rnacentral:lncRNA from 1 species
UUUUUGCCAUAGGCGCCCACUGGGACACCCAAUCAAGAACCAUUGUUGAAGCCCAUCUCAAGGAGCUGGCAUGCCCUAUGCCAGUUAUCUUUGCAAAAGCCACCCCCGUGGACAGACAAGAAACCAAAUAUAUCUACGAGUGCCCUGUGUACAAACCAAAUGGAGAGGCCCCAGCUACAUCUGGACCUUCAUGCUGAAGAGCAAAGGGAAGACUGCAAAAUGGGUUCUAGCCAGAGUGGCUCUGCUGCAAGAA